rnacentral:rRNA from 1 species
AACGAACGCUGGCGGCGCGUCUUAAGCAUGCAAGUCGAACGGCAAGAGAGGAGCUUGCUUCUCUCCUAGAGUGGCGGACUGGUGAGGAACACGUGGGUAAUCUACCCUUAAGAUGGGGAUAGCUGCUCGAAAUAGCAGGUAAUACCGAAUACACUCUGCAUAUCCCAAGCGUUGUUGAGUAAAGGAAGCUACGGCUUCGAUUGAUGAUGAGCUUGCGUCCCAUUAGCUAGUUGGUGAGGUAAAGGCCCACCAAGGCGACGAUGGGUAUCCGGCCUGAGAGGGUGAACGGACACAUUGGGACUGAGAUACGGCCCAAACUCCUACGGGAGGCAGCAGCGAAGAAUAUUCCGCAAUGGGCGGAAGUCUGACGGAGCGACGCCGCGUGGAUGAAGAAGGCUGAAAAGUUGUAAAAUCCUUUUGUUGAUGAAGAAUAAGGGUGAGAGGGAAUACUCAUCUGAUGACGGUAACCGACGAAAAAGCCCCGGCUAAUUACGUG